rnacentral:rRNA from 1 species
GACGAACGCUGGCGGCGUGCCUAACACAUGCAAGUCGAGCGAUGAAAUUCUUCGGAAUGGAUUAGCGGCGGACGGGUGAGUAACACGUGGGUAACCUGCCUCAAAGAGGGGAAUAGCCUUCCGAAAGGAAGAUUAAUACCGCAUAAUAUGUUUUAGUCGCAUGACUUUAACAUCAAAGGAGUCUUCUUCGUAAGAAGAAGCAUCCGCUUUGAGAUGGACCCGCGGCGCAUUAGCUAGUUGGUGAGGUAACGGCUCACCAAGGCGACGAUGCGUAGCCGACCUGAGAGGGUGAUCGGCCACAUUGGAACUGAGACACGGUCCAGACUCCUACGGGAGCAG